AGGCAGCCCCUAUGCAAUUUCCAUGGCAUUGGAGGCGUUAAACUGCUCGUAGAUCGAAUUGCUUAUGCUCUUCAGACUUGCUGAGGUUUCCUCUGAAGCUGGUCUAGUAAGCCUAAGUACAUU
rfam:Cucumis sativus cultivar 9930 chromosome 2, whole genome shotgun sequence.